AAGAGACGGGCCCCAUGGAGGAGAAAGACAAAGGGACCAGGACAGGAGGAAAGAGAAAGACCAAAGACCACAGGUCAGUUCCAGAUGACCUCGGCCAACCAGACAGCGAAGUCAGGACAGGCAGGACCCCUGGCUGGGACCAGAUAAGACCUGGGGGUGGGCAGAGUACCCAUGUGGGCUCUCUGGACCAUCUUCCUGCUGGUGUGGCCCUUGAGGGUUCUCGGAUCAUCCCUCUGCCCAAAAGAGCCUUUCUACUUCCUCCUCGCCAUCAUGAAGAAGCUGGAAAAAAAGAAUGAUGGCACGCUCUAUACCCCAAAUGAUUUUUCGGUA